rnacentral:lncRNA from 1 species
GGAUCAAUCCUGAAUUUCGUUAUGUGUUAUAUAUAAUACAAAACAAUAACCCUUCUGGGGUUUCUUGUGGCGGUUGAAAUAGUCCCACAUGUGGUCAUCAGAAAAUAAGCCAUUCCUCAUACCAAUAUAGGAUCAGCUCCUUGACCUCUGAGGGGCAGGAGUGCUUCCUGGUGUGUGUAUUAGAAUCCCUUCCUGCCUUGUUUCAUGGCAGUGAAAUGCCUCUUGGUCCUGUCCAAGUGUGUCUUUCACUGAUUUCUGAAUCAUGUUCUAGUUGCUUGACCCUGCC